AAUAAGUACCGUUUUACAUUAUUUAUAUCCAACGUUUGACCGUUAGUCUUAUUUAAAUUUUAUUUAUUUAUUAUUAUUACAUGAUAAAAUAUAAAUAGUACUUUAUGUAUGACUAAUUUUUUAUUCAUAAAUUAUUUAAACAAGACGGAUGGUCAAACAUUGAACACGAAUACCCAUUACUUCUAGAACG
rfam:Oryza glumipatula chromosome 2, whole genome shotgun sequence.